GGCGCUAUGGUGUAGACGGUUAUCACUUGGGAUUCUGAACGAGAACAUUCCCAAGACCCAGGUUCGAGUCCUGGUAGCGCCU